UACGUAGGGUGCAAGCGUUAUCCGGAAUUACUGGGCGUAAAGAGUUGCGUAGGUGGCACUGUAAGUCGGUAGUGAAAGCGUAGGGCUCAACCCUAUAUACAUUAUCGAAACUACAGAGCUAGAGGACGAGAGAGGCAUCUGGAAUUCCUAGUGUAGGAGUGAAAUCCGUAGAUAUUAGGAGGAACACCGAUGGCGUAGGCAGGGUGCUGGCUCGUUCCUGACACUAAGGCACGAAGGCGUGGGUAGCAAACGGG
rnacentral:rRNA from 1 species